rnacentral:snRNA from 1 species
CAGUGUUACACUUAUUUUAGAAUUUGUCUAGCAGGCUUUCGGUUUUGUUUUGUGUUUUUUCCAGAAAAACCCCC